CCUACGGGUGGCAGCAGUGAGGAAUAUUGGUCAAUGGGCGCGAGCCUGAACCAGCCAAGUAGCGUGAAGGAUGACUGCCCUACGGGUUGUAAACUUCUUUUAUAAAAGAAUAAAGUGAAACACGUGUGCUUUUUUGUAUGUACUUUAUGAAUAAGGAUCGGCUAACUCCGUGCCAGCAGCCGCGGUAAUACGGAGGAUCCGAGCGUUAUCCGGAUUUAUUGGGUUUAAAGGGAGCGUAGGUGGGUUGUUAAGUUAGUGGUGAAAGUUUGGGGCUUAACUGUAAAAUUGCAAUUGAUACUGGUAGCCUAGAGUGCAGUUGAGGUAGGCGGAAUGCGUGGUGUAGCGGUGAAAUGCUUAGAGAUCACGCAGAACUCCGAUUGCGAAGGCAGCUUACUAAUCUGCCACUGACAUUGAUGCUCGAAAGUGUGGGUAGCAAACAGGAUUAGAUACCCGUGUAGUC
rnacentral:rRNA from 1 species